rnacentral:lncRNA from 1 species
AGCACCACACCCGUGGUAUAUGGAGGUUCCUAGACUAGGGGUCUAAUUGAAGUUACAGCUGCUGGCCCAUGCCACAGCCACAGCAACGCCAGAUCUGAGCCACAUCUGUGACACUACAGCUCAUUGCAACGCCAGAUCUUUAACCCACUGAGCAAGGCCAGGGAUCCAACCUGCAACCUCAUGGUUCCUAGUUGGAUUCGUUUCCAUUGUGCCAGGAGGGGAACUCCUCUUUUUUUUUUUUUUUUUUUUUUUUAAAUUGGGCAUUUUUUCCUUCAGUGGAAGAAUAUAGUUAGACAUUCAGAUCUAUAAAACUGGUAUUGAAUGUGUGGCAACAUUUUAUACCUAGAGGAUUACUCUGCAUGUGUUUGGGUAUUUAUACUCCCUGCCAUGUUCUCUCCCACCCACAUGGUCACUGGUAUCCCCCAGAGCAAUUCUUCCCUUCUUGAUCCUGUGCCAAAAGCAGAAAUACAAUGUCAGCAAAGCUGCUAGCCUGGAUUUGAGUCAGACAUAUUCAGAUUUGAGUUUGACGUGUAGAGUUGCCCAUCAUAUCAGACUAGUCUUGCAGGAAGAGAGAACAAAGGGGACUGGGUAAUAAAUGGUGAGGGACUGGGUGUCCACAAAAUGAGGAGGAGAAGAAAGACCUUUUAUCAAGGAGGCAGCUGAACAGAGUGGAGCAUGCUUCACUGAAGAGGUUGCUAUAAUGGAAUAUGACAAAGGAGCUGAGGUGCUAUAGAAACACAUAGGAGGGUCCUUAACACAGACAGGUGAUGUCAGGAAAGCCCUCCCAGCAGGAGUGAGCUCUGAAGGAAGGGUCUGACUCAGCCAGCAGCCUGCUGCAGGACCAAUUCAAGAAAUGGAUGGAAAAAAUCAGAGCCGGUUGAAUGAGCAAUAAAUAACACAGUAUGUCUGGAGCAUAAGGUCUAACAGGCAAAUGUGUUCAAGGGAAGGGAAGGUUGCUAAGAGAUGAAUCUGGCCAGUGUGCUGGACAAGGUCCCAAGACAACUUGAACUUGCUGUAUACGGAAAGUAGGAUUAAAGNNNNNNNNNNNNNNNNNNNNNNNNNNNNNNNNNNNNNNNNNNNNAAGAGUCAGCCUUAUAAUUUAUCAAGGUUAUUCCUAUAAUAAGGUAAGGCAUACAUGGUUAAAAAGUAGAGAGGCUGCUAGGAAGUGAGUAGAACUGUUAUGUUGGCUUUCUUCACAUAGAAAACAAUGAGGGCUUGAAUUAGUGCAGCGCUGGUGUGGUGGGUGGCACAGGGAGGGGGCAAUGAUAAAUUUGAGAAACAUUCAUGAAAGAGUCAAACUGAAUAUGGAAAGAGGACCAUGAAGAGGAGAGGAAAGAAAUUCAAGCUGACCACCAUAUUUCUGAGAAAAAUGGGCAUUCACUAUACUGAUAAAAAGAUGUCAUAGGAGUUCCCACUGUGGUGCAGUGGGCUAAGAAUCCAACUGCAGUGGCUUGGGUUGUUGCUGAGAUGAGGGUUGAAUCCCCUGCUGGGUACAGUGGAUUAAAGUUUCCUGUGUUGCUGCAGCUGCAGUGUAGGUCACAGCUGUGGCUCAGAUUCAACCCAUGGCCCCGGGAACUUCCAUAUGCUGUGGGUGUGACCAUAAAAUUUAGAGAAUAAAAAGAUAUGGUACUACCCACUGAGGAAUGGAAUUUGGUAUCUACCUCACAGGACAAAUUAUGAUUCUCUUUCCCCAAUCCCACACCCAUCCAUCAACCAGAUACUUCUGCCCUACACUGCAGACACAGGGCACAAGUCAAGGACAGCAGACUGCAGUAUGUUCCAUGCCACAAAGUGUUUUGACCCCCCACCAAUAAUUCAUUAAGCCAAAUUGAGAUUCUGGUCUAUAACCAGUCAACUAUUCUUAAUUAUCUGCCUUCCUGUAGGAAAUAUGAAAAUUCAAACUGGUGUUAUUGCUACGUGAUCUUCUUUCUUUCUUUUUUUCGUGCUAGACUCAGUGAAGAAAUUCAAGGGUGUCUUUGGCUUGGGAAAUGAAAUUUACAGGCACAUGUGACAACUCAUUAAAUUAAAUACAUUGGUAAUACUGGGGUUUGACUGAAUCCGUCAGUUGGUUAAUUUUCACACUUUACUGAGAAGCAUCUAGACUAGAAUUAUACCAGAGGAAGCCAGAUAGUGGAUAUUGCCAUACAAGUUAUGUUAUUUCUUAUUUUGUUCAUACCUUAUAUUGCCAUCCUGCAUUACUCUGAGAUUAUGAACUAGUUUAAUUUCACAAAGUCAUAAACUAGAAGUACUAGUAUAUGUACUAGUACUAGUGUGUCUGUUCACCAGGUUAGAGAAUGAAAGAGAAAACUGCUGAAAGAAAAAAAUAGCAUCAAACCUUCUCUCUUGUGAAACCAUUGGUUUCUUUUGGCACCAUUCUUCCAUUUGCUAUGAAGCAGAAAGUGCCUGGACACAGGGGCUCCAGGACCUCUUGCUGUUUCUUGUUCCUGGGCUCCUUGGGCAGCCUCCUACCCCAUGGGCUGCCCCUGUCACCUUAAAUGUGGAAGUGGAUACUUCCUGAAACCCCACUUUGUCCCUAAACCCUUUCCCUCCCUCCCUCUCUUCCUCAUCCUCUCUAAUUGUCAAUUUCUUCCUUCUCAAUAUCCUACACUUUCAAACAAAGAUUGGAAAGACUGGGAGGAAGUGACAAUGGGUAGUUGCCUAGCAGUCUCUCUUCAGGGCUGUGAAAUAUCACUGGCCCCUGUGGUGCUGUGGGUUGAGGAAGCCACACUCAGAGCAAUAGGACUGGCCACCUGUGGGAAUGGCAGGGAGGAAACAACUUCUUCCAAACCCUCUUUCUUCCCAAACACUGAGUGCAGGACACCAGUCAAUUUCCCACCAAUGUUCCUCUUGUAUAUAUACCUUUGUGUAUCUCUGGCUAGCUAGCUAAUUAGACAAGUACUGUCUCUUUUCACAUAUAUGUGAAAUCUAAAAGAUAAAACAAAUGAAUUAAUAUAACAAAAUAGAAACAGACUCAUACAGAGAACAAACUAGUAGUUGCCAAUGGGGAGAGAAGUAGUGGGGAGGGCAAGUUAGGGAAAGGGGAUUAGAGGUACAAACUAUUAUGUAUGAAAUAAAUGAGCAGGUGUUCCCGUUGUGGCGCAGUGGUUAAUGAAUCCGACUAGGAACCAUGAGAUUUCGGGUUCGAUCCCUGCCCUUCCUCAGUGGGUUAAUGAUCCGGCAUUGCCAUGAGCUGUGGUGUAGGUUGCAGAUGCAGCUCAGAUCCUGCAUUGCUGUGGCUCUGGUAGGCCGGCAGCUACAGCUCCGAUUAGACCCCUAGCCUGGGAACCUCCCAUAUGCUGCGGGAGCGGUCCAAGAAAUGGCAAAAAGACAAAAAAAAAAAAAAAAAAAAAAAAAAAAAAAAAAAAGAAAUAAAUGAGCUACAAGGAUAUAUCGUACAGCACAAGGAAUAUAACCAAUAUUUUAUAACAACUUUAAAUGGAGUAUAAUCUAUAAAAAUAUUGUCACUGUAUUGUAUACCUGAAAAGAUACUAACAUUGUAAAUUAACUCUACUUCAAUUAAAAAAGUGGAUCUAGCAUGAUACUUAGAGAUAAAACCUAAGUGUAAUUCCAUAUCAGUUAUAUGUAAAAUGUUUGCACAAGACUUUGUCACUUUGUUAUUUUCUCUCCUGAAACCUCUUCUUGUCAAAUUCUUUCUUUAGUCCCACAGGCAUAGGUGAGAAAUCACGAGUGCCAAAUGAAUGGAGUUUUACUAUUCCUCUUGUUCAUUUCCAAUUCAUUCCCCAGAAUAAGUUCAAGCUUAAAUUUUAAAACCUUAUCUUUUUCUUCUUUACUCUUAAAAGAAAGUUCUUCAUGCAUUUUUAAAUUAAGAUUUUAAUAAUUGAGGGAAAAAAAAUAAAAAGCUUACCGUAUCACCCCUGCCUAUAUAUUCUAUAUAGAAUACAAAAAGCUUUCAUAAGAAGAUGUCUUUUUCCUUUUUCCUCUUUCCUGCCCAGUCCUUCUGUCAUCCAGUAGCCUGGGUCUGAGGUGGAUGUACUGUGAAUAGAAUGAAUUCUAAGCAUCAGAGCCCCUCAUUGGCUCUAAUCUCCUCCAAGUUCCAGUCAAGAGCUCCAGCAGGGAGUUUGCAUGGCCUGAUGUUUAAGUCUUCUGAAAUAAGUUAGUAUGACUCCAAGAGGCAUUACACCAUUUUUUAAAAUCCAUUCUGAAGUCCCCUGUCACAUUCUUCCUUGGGUUGCAUAAUUUUGAGUGGCCAGGGGCAUUUUGGGGACCUAGUUAAUGGCAGUUGAUUUGAGAAUACAUUUAGUUUGUGUUUUAUGAGCAGUAUUUAUGAGGUUCAUAGUCACUUGUAAGUACAAUUGUUUGAUUUCUUAUUUUAUUAUUUCUUUUUAUUUUAUUUUAUUAUUAUGAUUUAGGACACAAUCUGGCAUGUGGAAAUUCCUGGGCCAGGGAUUGAACCUAUACCAUAGGAGAGACCAGAGACACAGCAGUGACAACACCAGAUCCUUAACCUGCGGAGCCACACAGGAAUUACAACUGGGUGAUCUCCAGCUGUCCCAUGUAUCACAAGAAAUGUGAAUUUAUCUAAGAUUAAUCCAUGCACAAGAAAACUUGAGAGCUUUGGAGUGCAUAGGACAUGCCUCUCAGAACCAUCAGUCUGAAGGACGGGAGAGGCAGGGGCACUAAAGAGAGUGCUAACUUCCCUCCAUUCAACUGAGCUCCCAUGAGCCUCCUGGGCACAGGGCCUUCAGAAAAGCAGAGAGGGAUCCAGAGGCAAACAGCGUGCCCAGUUGCUCACCAAAACUGGGACUGAAAUCAGAGGUGGGCCUAAGAGAUGUGAUGUGAGAGAUGGAAAUAUUUCACCUCCAUUUCUUUGAUAAAGAAAUUGAUUCAGUCAGGUUAGCCAGUCCCCUAAGACUGCAUGAUACAUUGGUGACAGGAGUAAGAUUUCAAUUUCCAUUGUAUCCAAUGCCUCCUGGUGAGGGAGGCCAUCUAAGCCAAUGAGUCCUGCACACUUGGUCCUGUUCACUACCAUGAUAUGGCUGGCAUGGCUAAUGGGGAGGAUGAAGCCAACAUAAUGGUUAAGGACCAUGCUAGUAUUUUUCCAGUACCUGCUGUGUGGAGGUGAGUUGUUUGUUGCUUUUUGCUUGUAGAAAAGCAUAUUGAGCUUUAUGAACACAUCACUUAUUCACACAGACCCAUAAAAA